AUUGAACGCUGGCGGCAUGCCUUACACAUGCAAGUCGAACGGCAGCGGACCUUCGGGUGCCGGCGAGUGGCGAACGGGUGAGUAAUGCAUCGGAACGUACCUUUCAGUGGGGGAUAACGUAGCGAAAGUUACGCUAAUACCGCAUAUUCUGUGAGCAGGAAAGCAGGGGAUCGCAAGACCUUGCGCUGAUUGAGCGGCCGAUGUCAGAUUAGCUAGUUGGUGAGGUAAAAGCUCACCAAGGCGACGAUCUGUAGCGGGUCUGAGAGGAUGAUCCGCCACACUGGGACUGAGAACCGGCCCAGACUCCUACGGGAGGAAGCAGUGGGGAAUUUUGGACAAUGGGGGCAACCCUGAUCCAGCCAUGCCGCGUGAGUGAAGAAGGCCUUCGGGUUGUAAAGCUCUUUCGGCCGGGAAGAAAUCGCACAGGCUAAUACCUUGUGUGGAUGACGGUACCGGAAUAAGAAGCACCGGCUAACUACGUGCCAGCCGCCGCCGUAACAC
rnacentral:rRNA from 1 species